ACGAACGCUGGCGGCGUGCCUAAUACAUGCAAGUCGAGCGGAAUGAUGAAGAAGCUUGCUUCUUCUGAUUUUAGCGGCGGACGGGUGAGUAACACGUGGGCAACCUACCUUGUAGAUUGGGAUAACUCCGGGAAACCGGGGCUAAUACCGAAUAAUCCAUUUUGCUUCAUGGCGAGAUGUUGAAAGACGGUUUCGGCUGUCACUAUAAGAUGGGCCCGCGGCGCAUUAGCUAGUUGGUAGGGUAAUGGCCUACCAAGGCGACGAUGCGUAGCCGACCUGAGAGGGUGAUCGGCCACACUGGGACUGAGACACGGCCCAGACUCCUAUGGGAGGCAGCAGUAGGGAAUCUUCCACAAUGGACGAAAGUCUGAUGGAGCAACGCCGCGUGAGUGAAGAAGGUUCUCGGAUCGUAAAACUCUGUUGUAAGGGAAGAACACGUACGAGAGUAACUGCUCGUACCUUGACGGUACCUUAUUAGAAAGCCACGGCUAACUACGUG
rnacentral:rRNA from 1 species